CUGGUUCUCUCUAAGAUAGCUCUGGAGGGACGUGUGUCAUUAUGCCGAGUACAAGUGAUGGGUUGGAGAUGUGGAGAGGUGACAUGAUGGACCCAGGGCCUCUCAGCUGAAAGAUUGCCCUGCUGAACCUGAUGCUGGGACAUUAGCCCUGUCUAUCUUGUCCAGUGUGAAGUUUCUGGUUACAGCGGGUUACAUGGUGAUUUCCUCAAAUUCGCAGUCACCCGGAAACCUCAGAAGAUGACUUCCUUCCAAAAUUAUGACAAAAAAUCCACUUUAAAUGAAGUUACACUACACUGGAGUCGGCCCAAUGGCUGGUGUCCUUACAGGAAAGCCUUGUGGUGACACUUGUACAAGUCACAGACCUGCCAUGUGCACACCAAGACUGGAACAACACAGGUGUACAUCAAGGAAUGUCAAAGACAAGAAAAAAAACUACCAGGAGUAAAGAAGAGGCCAGUAAGGUUCUGUUGGCUCUGUGACGGUAGACUUCCAGCUUCUGGAACUUUGAAAGAAUGGGUUUCUGUGGUUACCACCAGCAAACAGAGUCCUGAACUGGGAGAGUAGACACGAGAAUUGGAGGAGGAUUUUAAGGGACAGAAUCAUCCUGAAUCGUCCUGAACUGUCCUGAUGAAGGCAGGCACUGAGAGUGUAAGCCCCUCAAGACACACUAGUGGACAGGUCCCUCCCCUGAGGACCUACAACCGUCAGGUUGCACCCACGGAACACUCUGCCCUAACGACUGGUCCCAGUCUCCCUCACCCCCUAGCCCUGACCCCUCCCUACAGAGUAAAAAGCCCAGGCUCUGGACUUGAAAUCCCACCAAUCCCCACCCUGGAAAGUGUCACCCUGAAAAUUGCCCCCUCAAGAAACUCUGCAUAAACCC